rnacentral:rRNA from 1 species
UACGUAGGUGGCGAGCGUUGUCCGGAAUUAUUGGGCGUAAAGGGAGCGCAGGCGGGAGGUCAAGUCUAUCUUAAAAGUGCGGGGCUCAACCCCGUGAGGGGAUGGAAACUGGUCUUCUUGAGUGCAGGAGAGGAAAGCGGAAUUCUUAGUGUAGCGGUGAAAUGCGUAGAUAUUAGGAGGAACACCAGUGGCGAAGGCGGCUUUCUGGACUGUAACUGACGCUGAGGCUCGAAAGCGUGGGGAGCGAACAGG